rnacentral:tRNA from 1 species
CUUCUCGUGGUGUAGUUGACAACGCUCCAGUCUAGAGAGUAGAAAUCGUGAGUUCGAGUCUCACCGAGAAUA